rnacentral:rRNA from 1 species
CACAUGCAAGUCGAACGAUGAAGCCGGAGCUUGCUCUGGUGGAUUAGUGGCGAACGGGUGAGUAACACGUGAGUAACCUGCCCUUGACUCUGGGAUAAGCGUUGGAAACGACGUCUAAUACCGGAUACGAGCUAGGACCGCAUGGUCACUAGCUGGAAAGAACUUCGGUCAAGGAUGGACUCGCGGCCUAUCAGUUAGUUGGUGAGGUAACGGCUCACCAAGACGACGACGGGUAGCCGGCCUGAGAGGGUGACCGGCCACACUGGGACUGAGACACGGCCCAGACUCCUACGGGAGGCAGCAGUGGGGAAUAUUGCACAAUGGGCGAAAGCCUGAUGCAGCAACGCCGCGUGAGGGACGACGGCCUUCGGGUUGUAAACCUCUUUUAGCAGGGAAGAAGCGAAAGUGACG